rnacentral:tRNA from 1 species
UGCGAGCUGGUGCAACGGCAGCACACCCGGCUCUGACCCGGGCGAUGGAGGUUCGAAUCCUCCGCUCGCAG